UUUCCGUAGGUGAACCUGCGGAAGGAUCAUUGUCGUGACCCUGACCAAAACAGACCGCGCAGGCGUCAUCCAAUCCACCGGCAAUGGCACCGUCCGUCGCUCGGCCAAGUCCUCAACCACCUCCCCUCCUCGGAGUGGGGGCUCGGGGCAAAAGAACCCACGGCGCCGAAGGCGUCAAGGAACACUGUGCCUAACCCGGGGGCAUGGCUAGCUUGCUAGUCCUCCCCCGUGUUGCAAUGCUAUUUAAUCCAUACGACUCUCGGCAACGGAUAUCUCAGCUCUC
rnacentral:misc_RNA from 1 species